rnacentral:rRNA from 1 species
UUUUUAAUUUUAAGGGUAUUUUAUUUUUUAUAUGAUUUAGUUUUAUUAUAAAUUAUUUUUUUUUUAUCUUUAAAUAUUUUUUAAUUAUUUUUUUGGAAAAAUUAGUUAGUACCUUUUGUAUCAGGGUUAUUCAAUUUUUUUAUAGAUUUUCUAUUCCCGAAACUUAAAGGUCAAUURAUCAAUGAUUUUAUUUAUUACAUAAAGUAAUUUAAUUUUUUAAUUGUAAAUAUAUUUUAUUCGUUUUUAGUUAUAUCUGGUUAAUUGGGAUUAAAUUUAAUUUUUAAAUUAUUUUUGAUUUAUAUUUAAUAAGGGAUAAUCUUUAUUAAUUUUUAUAAUUUGUUUUUUUUUGUAUUUUUAUUAUUUUUUAAAUUUUAUAUUUAGUUAUUAACAUAUUUUAAUACCUAUAUAUUAAUUUUUUUUAAUUUAUUUUUUUUACCAAUUUUAUUUAAUAAAUUUUUAUUUAAAUUUAAUUUUGAUUAAAUUAGUAAAAUUUUAAAUUGAUUUUUAAUGAAUUCAACAUAUUUAAUUUUCAACUGUUUAUCAAAAACAUUUUUUUUAGGUUAUAUUAAAAAUAUAUUCUGCCCUAUGAAUAUUUAAAUGGCUGCAGUAUUCUAACUGUACAAAGGUAGCAUAAUAAUUAGUUUUUUAAUUGAGGACUGGAAUGAAAGAUUAAAUGAGAAAUUAGUUUUAUUAAUUUUAAAUUUUAAAUUUUAUAUUUAGGUAAAAAAGCUUAAUUAAUUUUUUGGGACGAAAAGACCCUAUAGAACUUUACUUUGUAAAUGUGAAUUAUUAUUAAUUUUAUAAUAUUUUUAUUGAAAAGUUUUAUUGGGGUGAUAAUUAAAUUAAUCUUUAAUUAAUUUUUUCAUUAAUUUAUGUUUUUUUUUGAAUUAUUUUUUAAUUACAAGAAAAAGUUACCUUAGGGAUAACAGCGUAAUUUUUAUGGAGAGUUCAUAUCUAUAUAAUAAGUUUGCGACCUCGAUGUUGAAUUAAGAUAAAUUAAGGAAGAAGUAUUUUUUAUAUUAAGUCUGUUCGACUUUUAAAUUCUUACAUGAUUUGAGUUCAAACCGGUGUAAGCCAGGUUGGUUUCUAUCUUAAAAUAUUUAUAUUAGUUUAGUACGAAAGGACCAAUUAAUUUGUUUUUAAUAUUUUAUUUAAAUUAA